UAAAAAAAAAAAAAAAGGAUAACAGAUUCCAUCCAGCCACCAAAAUCCACCUUCACCCCAUUGAGAAAUAAAUAAUUAGAUAAAGACCCACAGAACUCCCAAGUUAUGAUCCUAACCUAAAAUGUCAUCAAGGUGCUGAUCAACAACCAAUGUCCUGGCAUAAAAGGAUUCAAAAACCAAUGUCCUGCAUAAAAGGAUUCAAAAACUUGACAUCUGCAGGAGUCUGUAGCUGAUCAACUGGCAGAUUGCAAUGAAUCAGAUCUGCAAACAUCCCCACGACAAAGUGGACAUACCCUGUGGAUCUCCUUGAGCCAUUUGUCUAUACAUGUUCUAUGAAAUUCAUGAUGGCAAGGCAGUAUCCGCAUGCUGUCCCCUUCCUCAUACUCCACAAGGCAUAUAUAGCAUUGAGCUGCCUCCUCAUGCUGUUGCUUUUGCAACUUCGUGUAUAAUUUGACUGGCAAAGAUUCCACUACUUCAGUAGGUGCAGGUACAGAUCCAAGUGACGACAUUGAUGGCCGAGAGGAUAGCACCACAGAUUGCUGGUGAAUUUCAUCCAGAACCUCAAACAAAGCUUCAGCUAACAUGACAAUUCUUGAUAUGCUAGCUCUAGCACUUGUGUCAUCAUUUAAAUUCGGAUCCCUAUUAGUUAAACGACAUGCACAACGACCCGUUCUAUGAUGGCCGGAUAAUAUACAAGAUCUCUCAUGUCCAGACAGAUUCUCGAAACGGCUUCCCAACCGCUGAAGAGCACGAACCUGCGAUCGUAUUCUCCUCCUUCGCUCAAGGAAAUUUGACCUAUGUUCCAGUAGGUCAUGAUACCUGGCAUCUCUUGAUCUUGUAGGUUCCAGAUCAUGAUCGUGAACACUGAACAAGGAGUUAGAGGUGCCAGAAGGAGGAUAACCAGAUGAAGUUGGAGAGCUUAAAGUAUCACCUUCAGAUUCUGAUACCCUCAUUUCACCACCUGAAGCUUGUCUCCCACUAACCUGAAUGGCAUCUAUCACUUGUCUCUCUUGUUGCAAAGGGCAAAAUGUAACAUCAGAUAGUGAUGAUCGACGAAGAACUCUGUCACGAAGUCUUCCCACACUAAGGGUGCGACUAAAACGAACAUUACGUUCAACGGGUUCUUGUGCUCCAAUCCGCCUAUCAGAAAUUCUAGUCUCAAAACUAUCCGAAUCACUAAAAAUUCUCGGAGAAUGCGAGGUUCCAUCAAUCCCCACUCUGGUGCCACCACAAUCUCUGCUUUGAUCAUGAACAGAAGAAUUUGUCUGAUUGCCUUGAUUAUUGAUCAAACCAGAUGCUCGAUAGUGAGAUCCCAAAUUUGAAGACGAGUCUUCACACUGUUGUGUAUGAGUUCUAUUGAUCAAAGAGGUAGGCAGCAAGUUGCUACUUUGACAAGUUUCAUUUCCCUCCAUGAUGCCAUUGGCAGAUCUUGGCCGAAGGUGAAUCUCUUCUUCAUCAUUGAGCAUUUGGAGGCUUGUAGAAGGGAUAUGGUAAGGCCUGGAUGAUCCUACACUGGUUGCUCUGCUUAGUCUAAAACUGACAUUACCAGGAACAAAACUAAAGCGAGAAAGAAAGCUACUUUGAGAUGUCAAGGAUGGAGUAGAAGCAGCUCGGGCAGAGUUGUUACCCAUCCUGGAGGUAGUAUUAGUGAUACUUGCUUGAUUCCACUCAUCAAGCUCAACAUUAGAUGAUACACAAGUUUCAUCAGAUUGUUCGACUUUGACCUUUCUAAAACAUUCAAUUUUGACCUGAUCUGACUCUAUUUCAGUCUGGCUAGUAGACGAAGCAUUGCCUCCAUCUUCUUUGCUCACAUGAUCACAAACAUUAUCAUCAUCAUUGUUAGUAUCACGAGAACCAGAAGGCGCUCCAAGACAAGAAGACUGGAAAACCCUACUGCCUUUACAUUUCCCCUUCCGUCCGCUCCAACCACCACCGCCACUUCCACUUGACGAUGACGAUGCACCACCACUGUAGGCCUUGCUCCCACUGGAUCCCAUCUUCCCUCCAAGCUUUGCUAUGAAAAUGCCUCUUUAAUUACAUCAUUACAACAUCCCAAAAGGACCCAUUACCCGAUUAUCUCCAGAUCUGAAAACUGGAUAUAUAUUUAUACCAAAAUAUUGGAUUUGAAAAAUAUACAAUGAAAUUAAGGUGGGUUUGAAUGGGCAGAUCUAUAUGGAGAGUGGAAAAUGCAAUGUGAAAGUGGAGUAAAGGGCAAUUUAGAUAGGAAAAUGGGGAAGGGAUUAGAUGGGAGAAUGGGGCAAAGUAACUUGAAGAGAGAGAGAUUUUAGGAAAGUUUCUGUUUUUGCAAGGAAGUGAGUGAGUGUGAUUUCAGAGAAAGGGCAAGCAGAAGAAGGAACAUGGGUUCUUGCCCAAUUUCAGGCUUGAUUUUUGGGUGAGUGUUUUUACUGCAUCACCACUUGCACAGAAUCAGAUGAGAGAUGACCUGGUGCUUUGCUAUUGCCACAUCAUUUUUCAUUCAUACAGGACAUCCUCAGCCUCAGGGUUCUUGUCUACUGUGUGGUGGAAUUCAAGGGGGCAUAGACCUUGCCA
rnacentral:misc_RNA from 1 species